rnacentral:rRNA from 1 species
GACGAACGCUGGCGGCGUGCUUAACACAUGCAAGUCGAGCGGAGCGGCGAACGGGUGAGUAACGCGUGAGUAACUGCCCCCCUCUCUGGGAUAACCGUUGGCAACGGCUGCUUCUACAGGAAUGUGGGGGGUGACUCGCGUCCUAUCAGCUUGUUGGUGGGGUAGUGGCCUACCAAGGCCACGACGGGUAGCCGCGCUGAGAGGGCGACCGGCCACAGUGGGCUGAGAUACAGCCCAAACUCCUACGGGAGGCAGCAGUGGGGAAUAUUGCACAAUGGGGGAAACCCUGAUGCAGCAACGCGCGUGCGGGAUGACGGCCUUAGGGUUGUAAUCCGCUUUCAGCCAUGACGCGGUAGUGGCAGAAGAAGCACCGGCUAACUACGUGCCAGCAGCCGCGGUAAUAC